rnacentral:rRNA from 1 species
UACGUAGGGUGCGAGCGUUGUCCGGAAUUAUUGGGCGUAAAGAGCUCGUAGGUGGUUUGUCGCGUUGUCCGUGAAAACUCACAACUCAAUUGUGGGCGUGCGGGCGAUACGGGCAGACUGGAGUACUGCAGGGGAGACUGGAAUUCCUGGUGUAGCGGUGGAAUGCGCAGAUAUCAGGAGGAACACCGGGGGCGAAGGCGGGUCUCUGGGCAGUAACUGACGCUGAGGAGCGAAAGCGUGGGGAGCGAACAGG